rnacentral:antisense_RNA from 1 species
UUUGAUCGAGCCGAGCCACAGCGGCCGGCUCGCGUCCCGGUCCUGCCCGUAGGUGGCCAGCAGCGCCUGGGCCUC